CAGCGACCAAAACAGCGACAGUUCCCUCUCCCUCUGCGGGCCGCGGCGGCGGGCCGGGCUCCGGGGGAGGCGGGCGGAAGGGGAAACGGGAGCCCCGGAGCCCCAAGCCCGUGCCGCGCCCUGCACCCGGCCUCCCAGGCCCAGCCCUUUGGCCGUGAACAAGGCCUGGCACUGGGCCCCACCGAGCCCGCAGGCGCCCACAGCCCAGCCUCAGGAUCCUCGCAGCCCCAGGCCUCUUGGAGCCUAGGGCAUCGAUGAACCUUUCCUCCAAGAUUUUCCAAAAUAGCUUGAUCCUAAAGAAAAGGGUGCCAAGCAGAACUGGCUGUCGAGGGAAACAAGCGGUGGGGCCAUCACCCAAGUGCGUGCCUUCCAAGCAUUUGUAUCACUCAGAAACGCCACUGCUUCAGAUGGGUUCACAGCAAGUUCUACAAGUUGUGUCAUACCACUGGAGGACAGACCAUCUCCUGUGUUGUUUGAACUGUUUCACAGGAAAAAAAAAUUUAUUUCCCAAGAUAACCCUGAUACCAAAAUCCAACAAAGAAAACACCAAAAAGGAGAACUGCAAAUAAAUAAAGAACACUAGUCCCCUUUUUUGAAAGAGGGCUUCAGCAGUGUGGUAACUUUCAAAAGUGUUACAUGUUGUUUAUUGUUUACCUUUUGGAGAAUCACAAAGUUAGUAUAUUGAGGUCCAUGUGAAGCGUAGGAGUAAAGAAACCUGUGUGCUUUGUUUAACCUGGCAUUUCCCAAACUCAGUUGAGCAAAGACAACUUUUGCCAAGCUCACUGAUCAAUCUCCAAUAUAUAAAUCACUGCUACAGACUAAUACAUUUAAGUGUAUUGCAGUUGCAAAACUACUAAAUACAAUUUGAAUCUAGUUUGCUAUAAGUCAAAACCCACCUCAAUCAAUAUGUAUUUAUUCCAUAUGUAUGUAUGUAUUUAUUGCAUUGUUAAAGGAAAAUAAAUCAUAAAUCACAGGGUAUUAUCCAUGGGAUAGAUGCUUUAGAAGUAUUUAAUAAAUGUCAACACCAAUGACCUACUAGGAAAAAAAUUUAAAGUUUAUCAGUAAACAUUAACUCACACAUUUAAUGGUGAAACAUUGAAAGAUACUCCUAUUUAAGUCAGAAAUAAAGCAAGGCUGCCUGCUAAAAUUGUUGCAAGCUAAAGCCAAUGCAAUAAGUUAAGAAAAAUAAACAAGAAAUAUAAAUAGUGGGAAGAAAGAACAUUUUCAUUAUUUGCUCACCAUAGUGUUUAAGA
rnacentral:lncRNA from 1 species